rfam:Medicago truncatula strain A17 chromosome 5, whole genome shotgun sequence.
CCCUUAACUAUUAAAAGUUUCGUUUUGGUCCCUUAACUUAUUUUUUAGUUUCGUUUUGGUCCUUUAACUUAUUUUUUGGUUUCAUUUUGGUCCCUUAACUCUAUUGCAUUCAUCCUAACAUAAAGGACCAAAGUGGUUGACCGAGGAAGAGUUAAGGGACCAAAACGAAACCAAAAAGUAAGUUAAAGGACCAAAACGAAACUUUUAAUAGUUAAGGGACCAAAACGAAACCAAAAAGUAAGUUAAGGGACCAAAACGAAACUUUUAAUAGUUAUGGGA